rnacentral:misc_RNA from 1 species
AUGCUUCAGCCGUUGCCUGCGGAUUUUCCUCAGGCAGAAAAUGUCCUGCGUCGAUAGCGUGUCCACUGACAUUCGUCGCCCACCUGCGCCAGGUGUCGAGCGGGCUCGAGGCCGAGGACGCAAUGCCCGCGCCGCCCCACAGUGCCAGCAGCGGCACCGUGAUCUUGUUGCCAGCCUCAACGUCAGCCUUAUCCUGCUCGAAAUCGGCAUAGGCCCCG